GACCGGAUGACGGGAGCUUGCUCCUUGAUUCAGCCGCGGACGGGUGAGUAAUGCCUAGGAAUCUGCCUGGUAGUGGGGGACAACGUUUCGAAAGGAACGCUAAUACCGCAUACGUCCUACGGGAGAAAGCAGGGGACCUUUGGGCCUUGCGCUAUCAGAUGAGCCUAGGUCGGAUUAGCUAGUUGGUGGGGUAAUGGCUCACCAAGGCGACGAUCCGUAACUGGUCUGAGAGGAUGAUCAGUCACACUGGAACUGAGACACGGUCCAGACUCCUACGGGAGGCAGCAGUGGGGAAUAUUGGACAAUGGGCGAAAGCCUGAUCCAGCCAUGCCGCGUGUGUGAAGAAGGUCUUCGGAUUGUAAAGCACUUUAAGUUGGGAGGAAGGGCAGUAAGUUAAUACCUUGCUGUUUUGACGUUACCGACAGAAUAAGCACCGGCUAACUCUGUG
rnacentral:rRNA from 1 species